AGUCGAGCGAACAGAUAAGGAGCUUGCUCCUUUGACGUUAGCGGCGGACGGUUGAGUAACACGUGGAUAACCUACCUAUAAGACUGGGAUAACUUCGGGAAACCGGAGCUAAUACCGGAUAACAUAUUGAACCGCAUGGUUCAAUAGUGAAAGGCGGCUUUGCUGUCACUUAUAGAUGGAUCCGCGCCGUAUUAGCUAGUUGGUAAGGUAACGGCUUACCAAGGCAACGAUACGUAGCCGACCUGAGAGGGUGAUCGGCCACACUGGAACUGAGACACGGUCCAGACUCCUACGAGAGGCAGCAGUAGGGAAUCUUCCGCAAUGGGCGAAAGCCUGACGGAGCAACGCCGCGUGGAGUGAUGAAGGUCUUCGGAUCGUAAAACUCUGUUAUCAGGGAAGAACAAAUGUGUAAGUAACUGUGCACAUCUUGACGGUACCUGAUCAGAAAGCCACGGCUAACUACGUGCCAGCAGCCGCGGUAAUACGUAGGUGGCAAGCGUUAUCCGGAAUUAUUGGGCGUAAAGCGCGCGUAGGCGGUUUUUUAAGUCUGAUGUGAAAGCCCACGGCUCAACCGUGGAGGGUCAUUGGAAACUGGAAAACUUGAGUGCAGAAGAGGAAAGUGGAAUUCCAUGUGUAGCGGUGAAAUGCGCAGAGAUAUGGAGGAACACCAGUGGCGAAGGCGACUUUCUGGUCUGUAACUGACGCUGAUGUGCGAAAGCGUGGGGAUCAAACAGGAUUAGAUACCCUGGUAGUCCACGCCGUAAACGAUGAGUGCUAAGUGUUAGGGGGUUUCCGCCCCUUAGUGCUGCAGCUAACGCAUUAAGCACUCCGCCUGGGGAGUACGACCGCAAGGUUGAAACUCAAAGGAAUUGACGGGGACCCGCACAAGCGGUGGAGCAUGUGGUUUAAUUCGAAGCAACGCGAAGAACCUUACCAAAUCUUGACAUCCUUUGACCGCUCUAGAGAUAGAGUCUUCCCCUUCGGGGGACAAAGUGACAGGUGGUGCAUGGUUGUCGUCAGCUCGUGUCGUGAGAUGUUGGGUUAAGUCCCGCAACGAGCGCAACCCUUAAGCUUAGUUGCCAUCAUUAAGUUGGGCACUCUAAGUUGACUGCCGGUGACAAACCGGAGGAAGGUGGGGAUGACGUCAAAUCAUCAUGCCCCUUAUGAUUUGGGCUACACACGUGCUACAAUGGACAAUACAAAGGGCAGCUAAACCGCGAGGUCAAGCAAAUCCCAUAAAGUUGUUCUCAGUUCGGAUUGUAGUCUGCAACUCGACUACAUGAAGCUGGAAUCGCUAGUAAUCGUAGAUCAGCAUGCUACGGUGAAUACGUUCCCGGGUCUUGUACACACCGCCCGUCACACCACGAGAGUUUGUAACACCCGAAGCCGGUGGAGUAACCAUUUAUGGAGCUAGCCG
rnacentral:rRNA from 1 species